rnacentral:lncRNA from 10 species
AUAAUAUUUGGAAGGGGCUGGGAUGCAAUGAUAUGGUUUAGCUGUUUCCCCACCCAAAUCUCACCUUGAAUUGUAGCUAAACAGUUCCCACUUGGGAGGGACCCAGUGAGAGGUAAUUGAAUCAGGGGAACAGGUCUUUCUCAUGCUGUUCUCAUGAUAGUAAGUCUCAUGAGGUUUUAUGAAGAGGAGUUCCUCUGCACAAGCUCUCUCUGUUUGCCUGCUGCCAUCCUUGUGACUUGCUCCUCCUUGCCUUCUGCCAUGAUCGUGAGGUCUCCCCAGCCCUGUGGAACUCUUUGGGAAGCCAACUGCAUUCCUUGGCUUGUGCCUCCUUCCUCACAUCCAUGUCACCUUCUUCCUGUGCUGUAAUUGUACCUCCUUCUGCCUCCCUCGUAUGAGGAAACGUGAUUCUACCAUUGGGCCCUCCUGGAUCAUCUGGGUUACUCUCCCACUUCAAGGCCCCUAAUUUAAUCACAUCUGCAGUCUCUUCUGCUAUGUAAGGACCAGGGCAAUUCGAGAAUGACCUCUCCAACUGGAGUUCCAGGGGAUGUCAAGCAGAAACUUCAAAAUGCACAAAGGGCUAGAAGACUCUGGUAUUUUCUAAACACAGAUGAAUCCAUGAAGACCACCUAAGGAGGAGGAUGAGGUAGGGAGGAGGUGCAGAUAAAUUGCAUGGCCCCAACACAGCCAGGCUGAAAGUGGGCCUUUUUCUCUUCACCCACUUCCAAAAGCACACAGCUCUGAGGGUCACACUAAUGUCUAUUAACACCGAAUAAGCCUUGGAGAGGGAAUGGGCAGACAGCAUUGGCCCUAUUGUACGGAAGGGGAAACAGAGGCCAAAGGGAUCCAAAGAAUCCACUCAGUGAGCUGGAAGUGGCAGAGGCAGGAAUCGAACUCGGGACCCGGGGUAAGAAAGAAACAUCAUAGAAGCUGCAGCUGAGAAUUCAGCAGGGCUCACAAUCAAUCUGUGGGUAUGUAUAGCUGGUUCCUUUCUGAUCGGGCAGUGCCCACACCUUACUGAUUAUUAAAAACCUCCACGUACUGAAUCUCACUGUGGCCCCAGGCUGGACACAAUUGAAAGCUGGCAGAGAUUGGACAUGGAGAAGCUGGAAGUCUCUGGGCAUGCUACAGAGCCCAUCUCUGAGAAUGUGACUGUACCUUGGCUUAGCUGAUGAGGUUGCAGGGACCCAGCCCAACUUCCAAACGGGUGUGUUCACCAGUGGUUCCCACCUUGCAUUUUUAGUCCCUGAAACAGGAAUACAUUGCUCCAUUCCUCCGGCCCCUUUCCAGUCCAACUAUCCAUCUGAUCUAUACCUCUCCCUCUGAUGGAUUUACAAGCCCAGACUUGGCCCCAGUUUUUCUGGGCCUUCCCGUGUGCUGCUCAGCACGGAUGCCUUAAUACGCCAGCUGAGACUUCUUAAAUCCACAUUGAAACAACUGUUGGGUUUUUAUACUGUUGUAAAACUCUUUGUAGGGUAUUCAUAGAAAAUGUUUUAUUAAUUGCCAUAUGUUUAUUGAUUUCUCUUUCAUGUCGGUUCUUUUGUUCUUUCUUUGUAGUGGCAAAAGAUCUCUCUGCAUCAUCAUUUGCAAGUUAUCUAAAAUGUCAAAGGUGUUCUUUUGAAGUUUAUUACAGAUCACAUGCCAUAAGGCCCGGACGCUGGGUAUUUACAGCGAGGGGGGAAUUCCCGCACGGACUUUCAAAGCCCACAAAAGAAUUGAGAUCAUAUUGGUUUAAAACAAGACACACACACAAAACCCCAAUUUAUCAUUUUUUACAAUUUUUCCCAUUUUGAGGGGUGGGGGCGGAUAUUGCAAAGGAAAUUUCAAGAAGGAGAAAUGAACAAAUGUGUUGGCCUAUUUAUGCUGUGGGACUCCCUCUGUAUCUUGCAGUCUCAUUAUGGUCCCUGUUAGGGAACUGUUUCCCAAUCUUCAUCCAGCCCUUGCAAACCUACAGCAGGAGGUUCCAUCAGCUACCCUGUGGGACCAUCAUGCUCCCUUUUCUGAGCAGACACUAGCUUUGGCUUCCCCAGAACAACAGGCCCCAUGCCACAGCCCCGGUGAAGAUCCCAGGGGAACCCCCUGGGAAGAGCGUCUUCCCCCAUAGAGCAUUGCACUAUUCCUCCGGCCCCUUUCCAACAUGGAGAGCAGAGGGCCUGGAGGUACCUGGGCUCUGCCCCCUGGGAUCCAGAGUAGUAAGAAUUGGAGGAGGACCAGUAAAAAGGAGGGAAAAAAAUGUUAAUAGUGCAAUUCCCUAAGAUUUAAGUGAGCUAUUGAUGUAUAAGUCAGCAGAGCAUUUUCUUUUGAAAACCCAAAAGUCAUUUUUUAAAGCUUAACCAGGGAAAACUCGCACUUUGAUCUAGAAGGGGUUCAAAUGAGAUCCACACACACUUAUCACGGAGGCAUGAGGAAGUAUUUUCCACUCUCCCUCGUUUCCCAAGAAAAAGGAUGGAUCAGGCGGGCUGGAUCCCAGCUCAUGCUGAAACACCAUCAUGCUGGUGUCCCUGGGUGGUGCACUGUCUCUGUGGAAGCCUCGAUGACCUUAUCUGUUAAAUGGGCAUACUGAUCCCUAGAUGACGUUGGUCUUCAAGAAUCUGAGAGGGUCCACUGAGCUCUGAG